AACGAACGCUGGCGGCAUGCCUAACACAUGCAAGUCGAACGAGACCUUCGGGUCUAGUGGCGCACGGGUGCGUAACGCGUGGGAACCUGCCCUUAGGUUCGGAAUAACUCCCCGAAAGGGGUGCUAAUACCGGAUAAUGUCUUCGGACCAAAGAUUUAUCGCCUUUGGAUGGGCCCGCGUUGGAUUAGCUAGUUGGUAGGGUAAAAGCCUACCAAGGCGACGAUCCAUAGCUGGUCUGAGAGGAUGAUCAGCCACACUGGGACUGAGACACGGCCCAGACUCCUACGGGAGGCAGCAGUGGGGAAUAUUGGACAUGGGGCGAAAGCCUGAUCCAGCAAUGCCGCGUGAGUGAUGAAGGCCUUAGGGUUGUAAAGCUCUUUUACCCGGGAUGAUAAUGACAGUACCGGGAGAAUAAGCUCCGGCUAACUCCGUG
rnacentral:rRNA from 1 species